rnacentral:rRNA from 1 species
UACGAAGGGGGCUAGCGUUGUUCGGAAUUACUGGGCGUAAAGCGUUCGUAGGCGGCCAACUAAGUCAGACGUGAAAUCCCCAGGCUCAACCUGGGAACUGCGUCUGAUACUGGAUGGCUUGAAUCCGGGAGAGGGAUGCAGAAUUCCAGGUGUAGCGGUGAAAUGCGUAGAUAUCUGGAGGAAUACCGGUGGCGAAGGCGGCAUCCUGGACCGGCAUUGACGCUGAGGAGCGAAAGCCAGAGGAGCAAACGGG